CGUGAUGGAAAUGUACAGAGAGAGAUGGCCCUGCAGUGAUGCAGACAGAACGUGAUGGCAGCCAUCAGAACUGGGAAGGAUUUCCUGAGGUUUCACCAUGCUCUGAAUAGUUUUUCAUGUAGAUUCCCACCUGAAAAUUCAAGAUGGUGGAAGAUGCUUAUGGCACAGGGAAGAAAGUAAAGAUGCCAGAUGAUAUGAACCCUCAGCAAUCUCUACAGCCAGAUGAGUCACACUCAUUGCCAUCCACAACAACACUCUCCAAGGCCUGUGAAACAAUAAGGUAAUUUAUAAAAGCUUUUCCACUGAAGAAUACAGUCGGAGAAGCUAACCUUUAUUUUAGUGGCACUUGAAUUAGGACAAAGUUCCAUUCAGAAAAGAUUGUUCAUAAUAAAAUAUAGAGGAACACAACGUAUUUUAUAUUA
rnacentral:lncRNA from 1 species